rnacentral:sRNA from 1 species
GUGAGGGAGGGUGUGACUAGUGACAGUUAGGCAGGGAAGGGGUGACUAGUGACAGAGGGAGGGGUGACAGAGUGAGGGAGGUGGUGACUAGUGACCGUCACCACCUCCCUCACUCUGUCACUAGUCACCACCUCCCUCCGUCACUGUGUCACCCCCUCCCUCACUCUGUCACCAGUCAUCUCCUUACUCUGUCACUAGUCACCCCUCCCUUCCCUCAC